UGAAGUCCAAAACACUUGGAGGGAAGGCCCAAGUUUGCCCACGCCUGGUGUAAAUGGUUCUAUUGAGAGCUGGGCCUCUAGUGAGGCGGUUGGGCCUGUUUAUGACGGCUCCCCCGGUUGCCUAGCAACCAAGGGGUCUGGAUGCUCACCGUUGGCCUGCCUGGACGGCGCCUCCUUCGGACGGAGCCGAGAUGGUGCCGGCGCUGCGCUCUCGGGGGCCGGCUGCCUCCGCCCGAAAGGGGGGCGAUGGGCUAUGGCCCCAGCGCCCCCAGGCCCCCCUGACGCGCUUCCCCGAGUGAGGGAGCGAGGGAGCGAGCCACUCAGCCGCCAUGAGCCGGAACCAGCCUCGCGCCCGCCUCGAGCCCCGCGAUUUAGAGGCACACGAUAGUAAAUUCCCAGAGAUUGCAAACCUUCAAGAAUCCGAACAUAUCACUUCUCAGCCACUGAAAGAACAAAAAUUGCCAAUGCUAACAUCUGACCACAGAUUUCUGGAUACCAAAGUCUCAGGAAAAUCAUCCAGCAGUUGUCCCUUUGAGAAUGGUUCAGAAAAUGCAUUGAUAAAGUCGAAAAGGAUAAAACAAGAAUAUGCACCUGCAUAUGGCUUGAGAGAUUGUGGUGAAAAUGUUGCAAUGCCAAGUCUUCCUUGGAGAUCUGAGAGAUCUUCUGCAAAACGGAACCUCUCUCCUGUUGCUCAGAAAAGGCAAGGUGCUACUAAUUCAUUUUUAAACAGCUCUUCCAGUAAUGAUGAGCCCAGUUUGCCACCUUUGUAUUUGCUUCCACCUUCUUCAUCGAAGUAUUUUCUUGAAAGCUACUACAAAAGCAAAGAGAGAGGCAUGGGGGAUACGAAUAAAAGAGGGCCGGGUUCUUGGAAACUAGGCCCUCUGAAGACAUCAGGGAUGCGCGGUGGAGUGGGAGACUUAUCUGCUGUGAGGUUGAAAAAACACAACCGGUGUUCCAGUCUAAUUUCCUUUCCAGAAGUGUCCAAAUUAAAAUCUGGUAACUGCUUCAAGAAUCCUGUUAUAGGAGCUCCUCCGCAGUACCUCCAACGGCUCUCUGAACUAGCCGCUUUGGAACGUGAAACCAUUCAAGAGAAAAUUAGAAAAUUCAGGAAAACCAAGAAAGACUUGUAG
ensembl:lncRNA